AAAAAUUGUUUAUUAAUAAAUUCACCAUAACAUAAGGCAUGUCUUUCUUUUUUGGAGCACGAAAAAUCUUUUAUUAACAAACUCACUAUAACAUAAGGGAUACCUUAUGUAUUUUUACAUAAAUUUACAUAAACAACAAAGAUCAAAAGGAUAAGAAAAUGGUUUACCACUAACAUUUUGUUACAACAAAAAAUAAGAAAGUAAAAAGGAUCAUUAGAUAAACACAAAUAAUAAGUUCAGCCAUUUUUUAUCAAGUAAUCUAGUGGAUAGAAAUUUCACCCUUAAGGUGAAUAUGUAAAGUGUCCGGGGUUUGAAUCCCGACCACUAUAUAUAUAUAUAGGGGAUGGAUCAAAUUACACCUGUGUAAUAUUUGAGUAAUGUUACACCGCUCAAUAACGCUUUAACGAAUAUAAAUUUUACAAAAUUCUCCGUUGGAUUGAAAGCUUAUAUCGUACAGAUCAUUCAUGUU
rnacentral:lncRNA from 1 species